rnacentral:rRNA from 1 species
GGCCUUUUGAUAAUAAUUUAAGGUCUGGCCUGCCCAAUGAUGAGUAUUAAAUGGCCGCGGUAUUUUGACCGUGCAAAGGUAGCAUAAUCAUUAGUUUCUUAAUUGGAAGCUUGUAUGAAAGGUUUAAUGAAAAAAUAGCUGUCUCUAUUUUAAUUUUUUAGAAAUUUAUUUUUAAGUUAAAAGGCUUAAAUGAGUAUUAAAGACGAGAAGACCCUAUAGAGUUUUAUAAUUUUUAUAAAAUUAUUAUAUUUUGGGAUUUUUUAAUAAUUUUUUAGGAUUAUUUGGUUGGGGUGAUUGAAAAAUUGAAUAAACUUUUUUAUUAGGAUUUCAUUGAUUUAUGAAUUUUUGAUCUUUAUUAAAGGUUAAUAAAUAAAAUUACCUUAGGGAUAACAGCGUAAUUUUUUUUAGAGUUCUUAUCAAAAGAAAAGAUUGCGACCUCGAUGUUGGAUUAAAAUUAAUUACUGGUGCAGAAGCUAGUAGGGUAGGUCUGUUCGACCUUUAAAUUUUUACAUGAUCUGAGUUUAAACCGGUGUGAG